rnacentral:rRNA from 1 species
UCAAAUUUGAAAUCUGGCACCUUCGGUGUCCGAGUUGUAAUUUGAAGAAGGUAACUUUGGAGUCAGCUCUUGUCUAUGUUCCUUGGAACAGGACGUCACAGAGGGUGAGAAUCCCGUGCGAUGAGAUGUCUGAUUCUAUGUAAAGUGCUUUCGAAGAGUCGAGUUGUUUGGGAAUGCAGCUCUAAGUGGGUGGUAAAUUCCAUCUAAAGCUAAAUAUUGGCGAGAGACCGAUAGCGAACAAGUACAGUGAUGGAAAGAUGAAAAGAACUUUGAAAAGAGAGUGAAAAAGUACGUGAAAUUGUUGAAAGGGAAGGGUUUGAGAUCAGACUUGGUAUUUUGUAUGUCUUGCUUUCGGGUGGGGCCUCUACAGUUUACUGGGCCAGCAUCGGUUUGGACGGUAGGAUAAUGACAUUGGAAUGUGGCACCACUUCGGUGGUGUGUUAUAGACUUUGUUGAUACUGCCUGUCUAGACCGAGGACUGCGUCUUUGACUAGGAUGCUGGCAUAAUGAUCUUAAACC